rnacentral:rRNA from 1 species
UUGGCCUCAAAUCGGGUGAGACUACCCGCUGAACUUAAGCAUAUCAAUAAGC